AGGUGGAAGGCUACAUCGUCACAACAUGUCUGACAUCCGUUCGAAACGCCAUUUUGUUCCGGAUUGAUAAUAUUUUGUCGUGGUACAAAAUAGCUAUACACCGUUAAAUUGAACUCUUCUAACACGGGAGGUGAUAUAGGAAUAAAGUCACAAAAACGCUUAUAAGUAUGUCAAUUUUCUUCCUGUUUAAAGCUUUCAACUAACAUUGAUUAUCAGCUGUUUUGUACGGAAAACGUGGAAUUUAAAUAAUUUACUGUUUCACCGCUAUUGGCAAUACAUUUUGGUCAUGUCAUCUGCAACAGACGAUCAUACAUUUAUGACGAAUUAUCGAUAUAGAUAACGCUAGGACCAUGUAGCAAUAGCAGUGGAAGCCCGUAUUUGCAAGCCAGUUGAGGGAAGGACAGAAUUCUGAAAAGGAGCAUGUUUUUCAUUUCCACACGUACAUGUGUAUCACUAUGGACAUCUAAUAUUUUUGUGGGAUUUUGUCCAGCAGUUUGCCUUAAAAGAAUUUGUUUAUAUUUAAGUUUCAUAUUUAUGUGGAUUCCAAUAAAAAUCAUACAAACUUCA